UUUAAAGGGAUGGUUUAGGUGUUUUGAAGUGGGGUUGUAUGAGGUAUUUAUCCAUAUAUGUGUAUUACUUACAGUAGAUGACUGUCGGCGUGCCCCCAGCAUCAAGAUACAGACAGAAGCACCGACACCAGUGCAAAGCAACACACUGCUGUGGACCAGGAUGGCAGGAUGGCAGU